UACGAUUUUGGCAACUAGUAAAGAAUGUCAUUAUGACGUCACGCUUCACAGUCAAAAGCUCAGCCUAGCCUAAACCAGUUCAAACUGGAUUUCCUCAAAACAAUAACAAAUAACACACAAGACAAAUGAUAACAAGAACACAGAUUUUAUUCAGAAUCAACCAAAGAGUGAUCGUAAAUUUCCAGCGCUGGUUUAUAUACCAUUGGCUUGUUUAGGGUCGUGUGCAUAAAUAGGUUGGACUUACCUUUAAUCAUACUGUGUACGAUUUUGUACACAGUCUAGUCAGCGAGCUUACCUAUUCAUUGUGACAUCAUACACUUGUAAAAUUAAAGUUUCAUUUUCACUUUUGUUUCCAAGAAGUGAACUUACAUUUUCAGAAAAUGUAGGACUAUCUUUUGUUUUUUCCUCUCUUUUACUAUGAUGAUUUUCCUGCUGUGAAGCUUUUCUUGUUUAAAGCUCAAUUUCUCUAUGACCACGGAAGUAAACAUCCUGAUGUAUUCUUACCAUGUGAAUGUUGAGAGCGGGUUCAUUUUUGAAAUCUUCUUUCUGACAGACAUAUUCUACAGGAUCAGCUGAGAAUUUGUUAUUUCACUGGAUUAUUUAAUGGAUAGGCUUAUUGGGCAUAUAGUUGGAUAUCUCUGGAUCAGCUGAGAUGUUAUUUCACCUGGAUUAUUUAUUGGAUAGGCUUAUUGGGCAUAUAGUUG